UACGGAGGGUGCGAGCGUUGUCCGGAAUCAUUGGGCGUAAAGGGCGCGUAGGUGGCCCGGUCAGCGUGCGGUGAAAGCUCGGGGCUCAACCCCGAGUCGGCCGUGCGAACUGCUGGGCUUGAGCACUGUAGAGGCAGGCGGAAUUCCGGGUGUAGCGGUGGAAUGCGUAGAGAUCGGGAAGAACAUCGGUGGCGAAAGCGCUCUGCUAGGCCGCAACUGACACUGAGGGACGAAAGCUAGGGGAGCGAAUGGG
rnacentral:rRNA from 1 species